ACGACUUGGCGCACUGCCAUGGCUGGUGCUGGCCAAAGAAGCAAGAAUGCUGCUGAGGGAGAGCGUGAACAUUCCAGUAAGGGGAAGAAGAUUGCUGAUAGCGGUGGAAGCUCGUCUUGUCAAGCCGCCGGAGCUGGUGACGUUGUCAUUAGUACAAAAGAUGAGCUUGCCUAUGAUCUUGCAAAGUUGCCAUGGCGCUGCAAUGCAAUACUAUAUUUUUUAGUGGUUUUGCUUAUUAAGCACAUGGGUUUAUAUUGUAGUAUUCUUUAGAGAUUCCUGAAUCCCGAGUCCUCACAUGUGAAAUGAAUAUGAGCUUUGUCUAUGUAACGAAUGUGAGCUUAUGAGCUUCGCUAUAUAUGUGUGGUUAAGC
rnacentral:lncRNA from 1 species